UGGGGAAUUUUGGACAAUGGGCGAAAGCCUGAUCCAGCAAUGCCGCGUGUGUGAAGAAGGCCUUCGGGUUGUAAAGCACUUUUGUCCGGAAAGAAAUCCUUGGCUCUAAUACAGUCGGGGGAUGACGGUACCGGAAGAAUAAGCACCGGCUAACUACGUGCCAGCAGCCGCGGUAAUACGUAGGGUGCAAGCGUUAAUCGGAAUUACUGGGCGUAAAGCGUGCGCAGGCGGUUUGCUAAGACCGAUGUGAAAUCCCCGGGCUCAACCUGGGAACUGCAUUGGUGACUGGCAGGCUAGAGUAUGGCAGAGGGGGGUAGAAUUCCACGUGUAGCAGUGAAAUGCGUAGAGAUGUGGAGGAAUACCGAUGGCGAAGGCAGCCCCUGGGCCAAUACUGACGCUCAUGCACGAAAGCGUGGGGAGCAAACAGGAUUAGAUACCCUGGUAGUCCACGCCCUAAACGAUGUCAACUAGUUGUUGGGGAUUCAUUCCUUAGUAACGUAGCUAACGCGUGAAGUUGACCGCCUGGGGAGUACGGUCGCAAGAUU
rnacentral:rRNA from 1 species